CGGUCGAUAUAAUAAUAACGGUUCAACUUUGCAGCGGAGAUUGUGCAUCGGUGACUUGCAGUGGAGGUGGAAGAAAACGUCGAUCCUCAGAUGUACCUGUUGGUACUGAUAUAAUAACGUUGACCAGACCACUGGUCAUCUUGCCCCCAGGCAUGUCCGUCGUGACAAGGAAUGAAACCAUCAUCAACAACGAAGGAUUUGAAGCCCGCGAGACGUCAAACUUCUCUACUGCCCUGAUUGCAACUGUUGUCACCCUUGGCGUGGUGCUCGCGCUUUGCAUCUCGGUCUUGGUGAUCAUGUUCUGCCGUCUCCGUCGACACAUGGACGCAAGCGACUCGAAGAAAUCCGCUUUCGAAAAUAAAGCUUACAAUUAAAUGCAUCAGAAUGCAGUUGUUGGACGAAUUUAUUAUCACGCAUACAUUUUAUAUAGUAUCAAGCUGAAUACCAAUAUUUAUUUUUUUAUCUUUUAGUACAUUUUAUGUUGUUUUGGCAAUAAAUAUUUUACUAAGCAAACAAAAACAAUACAUAAAUGCAUGUUACUUUAUGAAAAUCGGUUGCUGGAAUUAAACAAGAUCAUGAGAGACGCAAGUAAAUAGGUAUGAUAAUCUGCUAGAGUUUUCUUUAUUUUAUAUCUUAGUAUAUAUGUUUCUACUGCAAUUUAUAUCUGAAAUUUCCAUUAGAUUGAUAAGAUUGUAAAUAUUGUAAACAUUGUAUUUGUUUUUUUAUACUUUACUUACAUGGACCUGUUCACAGAUAUGAGAACGGUAAUUUGAAAUAUGUUUUGCGUUUUUUUUUCAUGUUAUAAUACAUCGAAGAUGAGCAAGAAUAACCUUAGAUUACACCUUUUACAAAAUCAUUUAAAUGCUUGCGGAUGGAAUGUGCUUUCGUUACACGUUGAUAACUUUCCGAAGGAAAAAAAUCUAAAAACGUACCCUGAUGACCUUGUUUUCAAGGUCUUAGCUUUUUUACAAGUUGUUCCCCGUUAGAACCAGGUGGAAAGAUCUUUUGCAUGUUUUUUAAUUGAGUAAUACUUUUAACAUAUGAAAACAAUUGGUUAAAGUCUGUGAACAAACCAUUUUAGUAAUUGGGGAAUUAUUUUCUUAUGGUUUUCUUUACGCCACCACUCCAUCUUUUUGCUUUCGCUUUACUUAGCAUGCACGCUUCAAUAAAUUAUUUUCUUUUGA